AACGUAGGUUCCGAGCGUUAUCCGGAUUUACUGGGCGUAAAGCGCGUUCAGGCGGUUUGGCAAGUCGGGCAUGAAAUCUCUCGGCUCAACCGGGAGAGGUUGUCCGAUACUGCUGGACUUGAGGGCAGUAGAGGGUGGUGGAAUUCCGGGUGUAGUGGUGAAAUGCGUAGAUAUCCGGAGGAACACCAGUGGCGAAAGCGGCCACCCGGACUGCACCUGACGCUGACACGCGAAAGCUAGGGGAGCGAACGGG
rnacentral:rRNA from 1 species